rnacentral:rRNA from 1 species
UACGUAGGGUGCAAGCGUUGUCCGGAAUUAUUGGGCGUAAAGAGCUCGUAGGCGGUUUGUCGCGUCUGCUGUGAAAACCCGAGGCUCAACCUCGGGCCUGCAGUGGGUACGGGCAGACUAGAGUGGCGGUAGGGGAGAUUGGAAUUCCUGGUGUAGCGGUGGAAUGCGCAGAUAUCAGGAGGAACACCAAUGGCGAAGGCAGAUCUCUGGGCCGUAACUGACGCUGAGACACGAAAGCGUGGGUAGCAAACAGG